AUGGCAAGUUCGGGGCUGUCACGUCAGAUUCUCUUCCUCUUGGAAAUGAGGUCGUCACAGAUUCUGGUCAGCUCAUCAUCCUCUUUAGUCUUCUGCUCCACCACCUUCUUCAGAGAGUGGACACACAUCUGCUCCUUCCUCAGGACCGCCUGCAGCGCCAGAGCGUCCGUCUGGGCCUUCCUGGGCGAUCUCCUCGCUUGCCUGCUGGAGCUUCUCCUCCGCCUGCGCCUUCAGCGCCUGGUACUUCUGAGCCUCCUCCUCCACCCUCUCUAUGUAAUCCUCGACACACUUCUUCAGCGACUCUUCGUUCUCCUUCUGUUUCUCAAACCGCUUGAAGAGGUCGGAGAACGACUUUNNNNNNNNNNNNNNNNNNNNNNNNNNNNNNNNNNNNNNNUUCAGGACCUUCUGCAUUUCGGCCUUGGCGAGCUCCUUCUGUUUCUGAGACUCCUCCAUCACCUGGUAGACAGUCCCCUCAAAGCUGUCCAUGAUCUUCCCCAUCUCCAGAAGCCUCUCCUGCAGCGCUGCGCACUUGCCCCAUAGCACCUCGUUCUCUUUCUGCGUGGCCUCCACCGCCAAGUCCAGGUUCUUCUGGCUGUACUUCAGCACGUCCACGAUCGGCCCCACAGGCAGCAGUGGAGCCCCAGGCCCGAGGUCACACGGAGCCGGGCCAGCCACCCUGGGCUCCUGGGAAGUCCGAGUCAAGCAGCUGGGCCUCCGGGGGGCUUCCAGAGGAAGGUGCCUCCACACUGUGAGCGCNNNNNNNNNNNNNNNNNNNNNNNNNNNNNNNNNNNNNNNNNNNNNNNNNNNNNNNNNNNNNNNNNNNNNNNNNNNNNNNNNNNNNNNNNNNNNNNNNNNCUCCACACUGUGAGCGCGGAGACCAGGAGAGAAGCCACCCACCGUCUGCGUGAGCCCAGGGCUCUCCUCGGAGGCCAGAGGCCCGGGCUCGGGACAGGUGGGCCCUGCGGCCUGUCAGGCGGCCCGCUGCUGCUGCUGGGUGCCAGCCCCUGGGGACUGUCCUGCAGGAGUGGGUUGAAGUUGAGGUAGUGACUGCUUCCUCAGAGCUGACUCUUUAAACAAGAAUGCCCCAAACUGCUCCAGGUAGUCCACCUGGAGCCCCCUGCACCUAGGACUUCCGUAGGGUCCCAGAACUGCUCCCCACUCAGGUCCACGGUGGGCUCCAGCUCUCUCUCGGUGGGGGGUGUGGUGUUGGUGGGUGCAGUCGGUGGCUCACUGCUUGGGCUGCCAAGGGGCGCUGACCUCCCUGAAGAGCCUGUGGUCCACCCCCCCCACCUCCCCACUCCUGGUGUCCUUGCUGGGGCCCUUGUCCCAGGUGUGUCAUCUGAGCACACCUGCCAGCUCAGACACAAGGCCUCUGAGGCCUGGCCACUCUGCAGGUGCUCUGGGGGCAGGCCUCUCCACUGUCCGCGGCUGGGUUACAGUCUGGGUCGUCUGGCUUGUCCCAGCUCGGGCCAUCGGACUCGUGGAGAGCGAGCUUGCAACCCUUGCUCGCUUCCUGGGGGGCCUUUCCGGGCCUCGCCUUUGGUCUCCUCGAGGGGGGUUGAGACCCAGGACUUUCCCUCACUUUCGCAGGUUGGGGGGACCUUUUGCUGGUGGCGUCAGAAAAGUCAAACUCCAGCCGGACAGGCUCACUCCUCAGAGAGCCAGCGGCCUGGCCACGGGCCUCCUCCCCCUGAGCACUGGGGUGUGUGGCCCCUGCAGCCUCUCCUGGGCUGGUCAGGGCCGUGUCCUCAUGGCUGGUGGCAUCCAUGGAGCCCGCUGGGGCCGCUUCAGGCAGGUCCACGAGGGGUUUUUCUCCAGGGUGGGCACCAGAGGGCGAGGCAGGCCCAGCGAGGGGAUCACGGACCCCCUCCAAUAGAGCUGAGCAGGUCCUCUGCUGUGUCCUGGGACACCACCCUGGGGGGCUGUUCUGGAGCCGUGGGGCCAAGGGGCAUGCUCUCCUCCGAGGGCCGAGGGAGGACGUGCUCUUCCCGGCUCACUCAGGGCUGCUGGGCGCUGGUCCUCGGGAGGCCUCAGGGUUUUCAACACUGUCUGGUAUCUGGGAAGAGCUUGAGGGACCCAGGCUGACCAGGGAAGCUGAGGGGGGCCCACCAGGAGGCUGGUCUUCGGAGGCUGGUCUCAUGUCCUCUGAAGGGGGCUCGGCGUUGACCAGUACUGGCUUCUGGAGAAUUCCAUGCGUCGUUUUGGUGUCUGUUUCCUUGGUGAACUGUUGAUUCUCUUUCUGGGUACAGACUUCAUGGCAGUUUUCUAAUCCAAUGGGGUCGCCCAGAGCAAAACAGGCUUCGAGCUUGCUGCCCACGCUGGGACUUAAGAUCCUGUGUGUCUAUGGGUCCCACAGAGAAGUCUGAAAAAUCACCUUCACAGCUUUGUCUGUGCUUUUCAGUGGCACAUUUUCUUUCUGUGACAGACGGAGAACAGAUGAUCUUCUGGUAAGUUCUGGUGGUGAAAACAGGAAGUCGCAAUUUUCUGUGCUUUUGUCACCAGUGACACUUUCGUCACUGAAGAUAUGCAGACUUAUUCUGCCGGCCACCGCGCGGAGCCCAGGGUGGGAGGUGCCGAGUUCCAAUUGCUCUUUUCAUACAUCAAUAUUUUACAGACUGCUUUAAAUUUGAGUUUAGAGCAAAAAGAUACAUGAUGUCUUCAAGAUAUCAUGAAACUCCUUGGGGAGUACAAAGCGUCUAUACCUCAACAAUAGGUGAUUAAAAUAAAACUCAAAUUAUUCCUUGAGACUGUCUACAAAAUUGACCUUAAAAGUAAUUAUGUCCUCAAUUUUGUUAGGGUGAUUUUGUUUCUUUUUUCUUCAGAAAUCUUUUAGUUUGGAAUAAAAUUAGGUGCCAAGUCUCUUCUUUCUUUAGAGUAGAAGUGUCUAAUCAGUGUCUAUCAGUGUCUAAUUUAAAGGUAAGAUACUCACUGAUGAAUUCUAGACCCAUAAUUUGUCACCUAAAGGACUUUCAUGAAUGUGUCAGGAACAUUCUCUAUUUUUUAGAGAAUGCUAUAAUACACUGAUCUGG
ensembl:lncRNA